rnacentral:piRNA from 4 species
UGGUUGAUCCUGCCAGUAGCAUAU